CGUUGUUCGGAAUUACUGGGCGUAAAGGGCUCGUAGGUGGCCAACUAAGUCAGACGUGAAAUCCCUCGGCUUAACCGGGGAACUGCGUCUGAUACUGGAUGGCUUGAGUUCGGGAGAGGGAUGCGGAAUUCCAGGUGUAGCGGUGAAAUGCGUAGAUAUCUGGAGGAACACCGGUGGCGAAGGCGGCAUCCUGGACCAACACUGACGCUGAGUGAGCGAAAGCCAGGGGAGCAAACGGG
rnacentral:rRNA from 1 species